AUGAACGCUGGCGGCGUGCCUAAUACAUGCAAGUCGAGCGAACAGACGAGGAGCUUGCUCCUCUGACGUUAGCGGCGGACGGGUGAGUAACACGUGGAUAACCUACCUAUAAGACUGGGAUAACUUCGGGAAACCGGAGCUAAUACCGGAUAAUAUAUUGAACCGCAUGGUUCAAUAGUGAAAGACGGUUUUGCUGUCACUUAUAGAUGGAUCCGCGCCGCAUUAGCUAGUUGGUAAGGUAACGGCUUACCAAGGCGACGAUGCGUAGCCGACCUGAGAGGGUGAUCGGCCACACUGGAACUGAGACACGGUCCAGACUCCUACGGGAGGCAGCAGUAGGGAAUCUUCCGCAAUGGGCGAAAGCCUGACGGAGCAACGCCGCGUGAGUGAUGAAGGUCUUCGGAUCGUAAAACUCUGUUAUUAGGGAAGAACAAAUGUGUAAGUAACUAUGCACGCCUUGACGGUACCUAAUCAGAAAGCCACGGCUAACUACGUG
rnacentral:rRNA from 1 species